rnacentral:rRNA from 1 species
GAUGAACGCUGGCGGCGUGCCUAACACAUGCAAGUCGAACGGAGAUUACGGACGGAAGUUUUCGGAUGGAAGCCUGUACUUCUUAGUGGCGGACGGGUGAGUAACGCGUGGGCAACCUGCCCUAUACAGGGGGAUAGCAGCUGGAAACGGCUGGUAAGACCGCAUAAGUCGGUUAAAUCGCAUGAUUUGAUCGGGAAAUGAGCAAUCAGGUAUAGGAUGGGCCCGCGUCCGAUUAGCCAGUUGGCAGGGUAAAAGCCUACCAAAGCGACGAUCGGUAGCCGGACUGAGAGGUCGGACGGCCACGUUGGGACUGAGACACGGCCCAAACUCCUACGGGAGGCAGCAGUGGGGGAUAUUGCACAAUGGAGGAAACUCUGAUGCAGCGACGCCGCGUGAGUGAAGAAGUAUUUCGGUAUGUAAAGCUCUAUCAGCAGGGAAGAUGAUGACGGUACCUGACGAAGAAGCCCCGGCUAACUACGUG